ACCAAGAACAGGAGGUUACCAAUAUUUGUUGGUGUUAACAGAUACUUUUUCAGGGUGGCCAGAAGCAUUCUCUUGUGGAAUAAAUAAUGCAAGACAAGUAAUUAAAACAUUAUUAAACAACAUAAUACCUUGGUUUUGGAUACCAGCGGCAAUUUCUUCCGACCGGGGUUCACACUUUAGUGCCAAAUUGUUACAAGAAAUUAGCAAAAAAUUAGAAAUUGAUUGGCAACUACAUGUUCCAUAUAGGCCUCAGGCCAGUGGGCAAGUAGAAAAGAUGAACCAUCUGAUUAAACAACAAAUUAGUAAAAUAUGUCAGGAAACGAAUUUAUAUUGGUACCAGGCAUUACCACUGGCUCUAUUAAGAAUUCGAACUAAACCCCGGUCAAAAGAAGAGGUUAUCCCAU